UACCAGCACCCCGAGUGGUCGGGACGAUUAUUGGGCCUAAAGCAUCCGUAGCCGGUCCUACAAGUCUUCCGUUAAAUCCACCUGCUUAACAGAUGGGCUGCGGAAGAUACUAUAGGGCUAGGAGGCGGGAGAGGCAAGCGGUACUCGAGUGGGUAGGGGUAAAAUCCUCUGAUCCAUUGAAGACCACCAGUGGCGAAGGCGGCUUGCCAGAACGCGCUCGACGGUGAGGGAUGAAAGCUGGGGGAGCAAACGGGG
rnacentral:rRNA from 1 species